rnacentral:rRNA from 1 species
UACGAGGGGGGCGAGCGUUGUUCGGAAUUAUUGGGCGUAAAGGGUGCGUAGGCGGUUUGGUAAGUCUGAUGUGAAAUCUAUGGGCUCAACUCAUAGUCUGCAUCGGAAACUGCCGGGCUUGAGUGUGGGAGAGGUGAGUGGAAUUCCUGGUGUAGCGGUGAAAAUGCGUAGAUAUCAGGAGGAACACCUGUGGCGAAAAGCGGCUCACUGGACCAUAACUGACGCUGAUGCACGAAAGCUAGGGGAGCAAACAGG